rnacentral:rRNA from 1 species
CUGCUGCCUUCCGUAGGAGUCUGGUCCGUGUCUCAGUACCAGUGUGGGGGACCUUCCUCUCAGAACCCCUACGCAUCGUCGCCUCGGUGGGCCGUUACCCCGCCGACUAGCUAAUGCGCCGCAUGGCCAUCCGCAGCCGAUAAAUCUUUAAACAUCGGGAGAUGCCUCCCAACGUUGUUACGCGGUAUUAGACGGAAUUUCUUCCGCUUAUCCCCCUGCUGCGGGCAGGUUCCAUACGUGUUACUCACCCGUGCGCCGGUCGCCGG